UCAUCUGUGAAGAGGGGUGGCCCAGAAAAUUUGUACUCGUUUAAUAAGAAACAAUGUAGAUGGAGUUGCAUCUACUUCACUUGUCUGGUUUUUAUUUACCCUUCCUCCCCUCUUUGGAAAAGCAUCACAGAGCAAAACAGCCCAGAAGGGAAACUAGCCUGAUAAAUAGACCAUCAAGAGGAAUAAUUAGUCUAGAUAGGAAAAUUAAAUGGGGGAGCCACUAAUCAGCUGCUCUCUCUGCAAGGAGGAGGCUGGGAAAGUAAUUUAAAAAACCUUUUGGAGGAGACUCUGAGGCAGAGCGUAAAGUAAAAAUACAGAUGGCCAGAAAUUAGAGCAAGUCUGUGUGCGCAGGAACAGGUGGAAUUGGUUAGAGGCAGAGCUCCCUCCCACCCUGCUUACCCCCUCCAAUUCUUCUCAUGACUUUACCUUCUGCUUGGCAGCACUGUGAGCUGGGAAGGAAAAAAAUAUCUCCCUCCGAGCUGGUGAAGUCGUCUCCAGCUGGGAGACUGCACUGCUAGCAGCCCUGCUCGGUUCCCAGGGGCUGCACACAAAGCCCCCAGCACCAGCAGCUUGAUCCUAAUUCAACUCACUCUGUGCUGGCCUCACAAGUAGAGGGAACAUGAAGCUUUGCUAAGAUCAGCCUGAGUCCUUGCACCACCAAAGCCUGAGGGAGCAGAGCACAGCUUCGCUUCUCUCCACAUCAGACUCCUUUCUGCUCCAGGACCCCACUGCUCCUUCCAUGCCUGCAACAAGAAGCUGCAGGAUCUCCUUGAGAUCACCCUGAUGACCACCGUCGUGGCACCUGGUCGACCUGCAAGGACCACUGCCUUACCUAUCAGGGCUACAAGCCAGCAGGUCCGCCACGGUGCUAACAAUUCGGAGACUGUGUCACUGUCAGAAACAGUGGAAGUCCUGAAGGGAAAUUGGGAUAGACAAGGCUUUGGAACACAAAUAAAAAUUUUCACCCCAAGGAAGUUUGGAUCUUCAGCUUCCAUUCAGUUUGGGAAACUCUAGCUGACUGAAGCCCAGGGCUAAGCAAACUCAUGUCUCCCAGAAUGGAAUCCAUUACUGAGCUGGAAUGCCUCUAAUUAUACUAACACUAAUAACGUUAGCUACUAAAAUAGCUCAGAAAAGGAUAAGUUACAAACGUGGUUUUCAGUCUGUGGGUUUCAAAUGCAUGGGGAUUGCCAGGAGGGGUUGAGAGCAGGGACACAACCUACUUUCUUUCAUUUCACUCCCAUCUAGUAAGCUCACCCAACGCUUUCAGAU